rnacentral:rRNA from 1 species
UACGUAGGUGGCGAGCGUUAUCCGGAUUUACUGGGCGUAAAGAGCGCGCAGGCGGUCGUGCAAGUCGAGUGUGAAAGCCCCCGGCUCAACUGGGGAGGGUCACUCGAUACUGCUCGACUCGAAGGAGGGAGAGGGAAGUGGAAUUCCCGGUGUAGUGGUGAAAUGCGUAGAUAUCGGGAGGAACACCAGUGGCGAAGGCGACUUCCUGGCCCGUUCUUGACGCUGAGGCGCGAAAGCUAGGGGAGCAAACGGG